rnacentral:ncRNA from 1 species
GAGGAAAAGAAACUUACCAGGAUUCCCCUAGUAACGGCGAGCGAACCGGGAAAAGCCCAGCUUGAGAAUUAGGAGAAGCGUCCUCAGCGGUGGACCAGGACCAAGUCCCCUAGAAAGGGGCGCCGAAGAGGGUGAGAGCCCCGUCGUGCCCAUACCCUGUCGCACCACGAGGCACUGUCUACGAGUCGAGUUGUUUGGGAAUGCAGCCCUAAUCGGGCGGUAAAUUCUAUGCAAGGCUAAAUACGGGUGAGAGACCGAUAGCGAACAAGUACCGCGAGGGAAAGAUGAAAAUGACUUUGAAAAGAAAGUCAAAGAGUGCUUGAAAUUGUUGGGAGGGAAGCAGAUGGGGGCCGACGAUGCGCCCUAGUCCGUUGUGAAACAGCGAGAGCCAGUCCGCCGAUCGACUUGGGGCGUGGACCGACGCAGGUCGUGGUGACGGCCCAAGCCCGGGCCUUUGAUACGCCUGUGGAGACGUCGUUGCCUCGAUCGUGGGAUCCAACACGUGCCGUCUCGGUGUGCUUCGGCACCUAUGUGCUCCGGGCGUCGGCCUGUGGGUUCUCCAUUUGGCCCGUCUUGAAACACGGACCAAGGAGUCUGACAUGUGUGCGAGUCAACGGACUAGAAAACCCAUAAGGCGCAAGGAAGCUGAUUGCGGGAUCCCACAUAGGUGCACCGCCGAUUGACCUUGAUCAUCUGAGAAGGGUUUGAGUGAGAGCAUGCCUGUCAGGACCCAAAAGAUGGUGAACUAUGCCUGUGCGGGGCGAAGCUAGAGGAAACUCUUGUGGAGGCCCGCAGCGAUACUGACGUGCAAAUCGUUCGUCUGACUUGGGUAUAGGGGCGAAAGACUAAUCGAAC